rnacentral:lncRNA from 1 species
GGGGAGCAGCAACAAUGGGAUCUUGAGAUGGGGAUUGGCGGGUGAGUGGUAGAUCGUCGGGACUUGUAGAUGGAGUAGAAAUGGAUGUAGUCAGAGAUUUGGAUUAUUUUCAUGGGACGAUCUCCAAUAGCUUAGAUGGGAGUUGCGAUCAUUCGAAACUUUCUCUUUGUCUGGUGUCGAGCAUCAUGAUUGGGUACAGAGAGAAGGAUGAGACUAGAUUUCAUUAAGAGCAGGAGAUUGCGGAGUAGACUUAUAUGAAUAGUUCUAACUCAUUCUAAUUGAUUAAUAAAUAAAUAUUUUUUAUUUAAAUUUUCUUUAAUUUGUUGUUGGAAUGGGAAAGG